rnacentral:rRNA from 1 species
AACGUAGGUGGCGAGCGUUAUCCGGAUUUACUGGGCGUAAAGCGUGUGCAGGCGGGGAGACAAGUGGGGUAUGAAAUUUCCCGGCUUAACCGGGAAGGGUUAUGCCAGACUGUCUUUCUGGAGUGCGAGAGAGGGGCGUGGAAUUCCGGGUGUAGUGGUGAAAUGCGUAGAGAUCCGGAGGAACCCCAGAGGCGAAGGCGGCUUGCCAGAACGCGCUCGACGGUGAGGGAUGAAAGCUGGGGGAGCAAACCGG